GACGAACGCUGGCGGCGUGCUUAACACAUGCAAGUCGAACGGAAAGGUCCUGCUUUUGUGGGUUUCUCGAUUGGCGAACGGGUGUGUAACACGUGAGUAACCUGCCCUUGACUUUCGGAUAACUUCAGGAAACUGGGGCUAAUACCCGAUAUGAUCUCCUGCUGCAUGUUGGGGGUUGGAAAGUUUCGGCGGUUGGGGAUGGACUCGCGGCUUAUGAGCUUGUUUGUGGGGUAGUGGCUUACCAAGGUUUUGACGGGUAGCCGGCCUGAGAGGGUGACCGGCGACAUUAGGACUAAGAUACGGAGCAGAAGGCUACGGGAGGCAGUAGUGGGGAGUAUGACAGAAUGGGCGGAAGCCUGAUGCAGAGACGCCGCGUGCGGGAUAACGGCCUUCGGGUGGUAAACAGAUUUCGAAUGUGACGAAGAGGGAGUGACGGUAAUGGGUAAAGAAGCACCGGCUAACUACGUG
rnacentral:rRNA from 1 species